ACGUAGGAGGCGAGCGUUAUCCGGAUUCACUGGGCGUAAAGCGCGUGCAGGCGGUUUGGUAAGUUGAUCGUGAAAGCUCCCGGCUCAACUGGGAGAGGUCGGUCAAUACUACCGAACUAGAGAGUAGAAGAGGAAGAUGGAAUUCCCGGUGUAGUGGUGAAAUGCGUAGAUAUCGGGAGGAACACCAGUGGCGAAGGCGAUCUUCUGGUCUAUUUCUGACGCUCAGACGCGACAGCUAGGGUAGUAAACGGGAUUAGAGACCCCGGUAAUCCUAGCCGUAAACGAUGUGAACUUGGCGUCGGUGGCUUAAACACCAUCGGUGCCGAAGCAAACGCGAUAAGUUCACCGCCUGGGGACUACGGCCGCAAGGUUA
rnacentral:rRNA from 1 species